rnacentral:tRNA from 1 species
AGAAUUAUAUUUUAAAAAAGAAUAAUAGAUUGUAGAUCUAGAGGACAAAAAUUCUAAAAGUCUUGAGGAUUUUUGUUGUU